CGGUGUUCAACUGGCGUGCCCGCGGGACGUCCUGCCGGUGAGCUCAGCCCGCGAGGGCGGCUCAACUUGAAAUCCCAUCGCGGUGCUCUUCAUUGAGUGUCGAGGUGGGCCGGCACGAUUACUUUUGAACAAAUUAGAGUGCUUAAAGCAGGCUAAAAUUUUGCCUGAAUACUGUGUAUAUGGAAUAAUGGAAUAGGACCUCGGUUCUAUUUUGUUGGUUUUCGGAACCCCGAGGUAAUGAUUAAUAGGAACGGAUGGGGGCAUUCGUAUUGCGACGUUAGAGGUGAAAUUCUUGGAUCGUCGCAAGACGGACUAAAGCGAAAGCAUUUGCCAAAAACGCUUUCAUUGAUCAAGAACGAAAGUUAGAGGUUCGAAGGCGAUCAGAUACCGCCCUAGUUCUAACCAUAAACUAUGCCAGCUAGCGAUCCGCCGACGUCCCUCUGAUGGCUCGGCGGGCAGCUUCCGGGAAACCAAAGCUUUUGGGUUCCGGGGGAAGUAUGGUUGCAAAGCUGAAACUUAAAGGAAUUGACGGAAGGGCACCACCAGGAGUGGAGCCUGCGGCUUAAUUUGACUCAACACGGGAAACCUCACCAGGCCCAGACACUGGAAGGAUUGACAGAUUGAGAGCUCUUUCUUGAUUCAGUGGGUGGUGGUGCAUGGCCGUUCUUAGUCGGUGGAGCGAUUUGUCAGGUUAAUUCCGAUAACGGACGAGACUCUGACCUGAUAACUAGACGCACUUGCGGCAUCUCAAAGGUCCGCCGGCGGCUGGCUUUGCGCCCGUCGUCGCGCGCGAUUUUUACUGCCGGCGUACAAUAAAUUCUUCUUAGAGGGACAAGUGG
rnacentral:rRNA from 1 species